ACCCUUUGCCGAUUGGUAACCCAAGGACCUCCAAAAUAAAAUCUCCCGUUCCUAAACCCCCUCCUGUUCACCCAUACAACACUGUAUGGUUGGUUGCCUAUGGUUCAGGUUCACCGGGAGAUGCUGCGUAGCUCUACAGCCGGAGAUAUCAGGUCUCCACUUUUAAUAAACUAAAACCUUGUUUUUUUCAAGAAAAUAUAAUUAAACAAAUAUAUGUACAAAAUAAAGAAAACUAAAAAUGAUUGAAUGCGACCCAAGUAGGAGGGGUCGACCGGGACAAUUGACACUCGUGGUAGUUUUGUUAACCUGUAACUGAUAUCACGUUAGCUUCCAGUAUGAACAACCGGUAGGUAGUUUCAAAGACCACUUCUAUGAUUCAACUUUACACGGGAUCAAUAUAAAUCAAAUUACAGGAAGGCUGGUUCCAGUCGAGCGCGAAUUUACAUUCGCAGCGUCUACCGAAAUUUCACCACAGGGAUAACCUAAUUCUGAGCACGGCUAUACAGCCGUAUACUUUUUCCACGGAUGGUAACAGGAAGAGCGCGGUCAUACGACCUGCACCUCUUUGUACUGGAUAGUCAGGAAGGGUUUCAGAGCGCGGUACUACAACCGGCACGUCUGAGGUAAAUUAUUCAACGGGGCGGGUGUCAGAGCGCGAUUUACAAUCGCUAACGUCUGACCAGGAAACAGGAAAGAAUUUCUUAGGAUCAGGAAAACAAUUCUAAGACGAGUCUCCUUUCUGGUCUGGUUUCUGUUUAUAUAGUCUGUGGAAGGAAGUGGGAAUGUAAUGGUGAUGGUAAUCGUACUGGUGGGAAUGUCCACAAACAUGACGUCUUUGAAACUACCGCCCUCUCCUGAUAGAAAUCUAGAUUAAUUUCCAAUUCCUACAGGAAUCAAAUUACAAAUUAAUCUUAUAACAU